rnacentral:rRNA from 1 species
GCGUUAACGAACGAGACCUCAGCCUGCUAACUAGCUAUGUGGAGGUGAUCCUCCGUGGCCAGCUUCUUAGAGGGACUAUGGCCUUCUAGGCCGAGGAAGUUUGAGGCA